UACGAAGGGGGCUAGCGUUGCUCGGAAUCACUGGGCGUAAAGGGUGCGUAGGCGGGUCUUUUAAGUCAGAGGUGAAAGCCUGGAGCUCAACUCCAGAACUGCCUUUGAUACUGAGGAUCUCGAGUUCGGGAGAGGUGAGUGGAACUGCGAGUGUAGAGGUGAAAUUCGUAGAUAUUCGCAAGAACACCAGUGGCGAAGGCGGCUCACUGGCCCGAUACUGACGCUGAGGCACGAAAGCGUGGGGAGCAAACAGG
rnacentral:rRNA from 1 species